rnacentral:rRNA from 1 species
UCAUGGGCGAGAGCCUGAACCAGCCAAGCUAGCGUGAAGGAUGACUGCCCUAUNNCCACANUAAACUUNGNAAAAUAAAGGAAUAAAGUCGGGUAUGGAUACNUCUUUGCAUGUACUUUAUGAAUAAGGAUCGGCUAACUCCGUGCCAGCAGCCGCGGUAAUACGGAGGAUCCGAGCGUUAUCCGGAUUUAUUGGGUUUAAAGGGAGCGUAGAUGGAUGUUUAAGUCAGUUGUGAAAGUUUGCGGCUCAACCGUAAAAUUGCAGUUGAUACUGGAUAUCUUGAGUGCAGUUGAGGCAGGCGGAAUUCGUGGUGUAGCGGUGAAAUGCUUAGAUAUCACGAAGAACUCCGAUUGCGAAGGCAGCCUGCUAAGCUGCAACUGACAUUGAGGCUCGAAAGUGUGGGUAUCAAACAGGAUUAGAUACCCUGGUAGUCCAAGGGCGAAUUC